rnacentral:rRNA from 1 species
GACGAACGCUGGCGGCGUGCUUAACACAUGCAAGUCGAACGGAAAGGCCCUGCUUUUGUGGGGUGCUCGAGUGGCGAACGGGUGAGUAACACGUGAGUAACCUGCCCUUGACUUUGGGAUAACUUCAGGAAACUGGGGCUAAUACCGGAUAGGAGCUCCUGCUGCAUGGUGGGGGUUGGAAAGUUUCGGCGGUUGGGGAUGGACUCGCGGCUUAUCAGCUUGUUGGUGGGGUAGUGGCUUACCAAGGCUUUGACGGGUAGCCGGCCUGAGAGGGUGACCGGCCACAUUGGGACUGAGAUACGGCCCAGACUCCUACGGGAGGCAGCAGUGGGGAAUAUUGCACAAUGGGCGGAAGCCUGAUGCAGCAACGCCGCGUGCGGGAUGACGGCCUUCGGGUUGUAAACCGCUUUCGCCUGUGACGAAGCGUGAGUGACGGUAAUGGGUAAAGAAGCACCGGCUAACUACGUGCCAGCAGCCGCGGUGAUACGUAGGGUGCGAGCGUUGUCCGGAUUUAUUGGGCGUAAAGGGCUCGUAGGUGGUUGAUCGCGUCGGAAGUGUAAUCUUGGGGCUUAACCCUGAGCGUGCUUUCGAUACGGGUUGACUUGAGGAAGGUAGGGGAGAAUGGAAUUCCUGGUGGAGCGGUGGAAUGCGCAGAUAUCAGGAGGAACACCAGUGGCGAAGGCGGUUCUCUGGGCCUUUCCUGACGCUGAGGAGCAAAAGCGUGGGGAGCGAACAGGCUUAGAUACCCUGGUAGUCCACGCUGUAAACGGUGGGUACUAGGUGUGGGGUCCAUUCCACGGGUUCCGUGCCGUAGCUAACGCUUUAAGUACCCCGCCUGGGGAGUACGGCCGCAAGGCUAAAACUCAAAGGAAUUGACGGGGCCCCGCACAAGCGGCGGAGCAUGCGGAUUAAUUCGAUGCAACGCGUAGAACCUUACCUGGGUUUGACAUGGAUCGGGAGUGCUCAGAGAUGGGUGUGCCUCUUUUGGGGUCGGUUCACAGGUGGUGCAUGGCUGUCGUCAGCUCGUGUCGUGAGAUGUUGGGUUAAGUCCCGCAACGAGCGCAACCCUUGUUCACUGUUGCCAGCACGUUAUGGUGGGGACUCAGUGGAGACCGCCGGGGUCAACUCGGAGGAAGGUGGGGAUGACGUCAAGUCAUCAUGCCCCUUAUGUCCAGGGCUUCACGCAUGCUACAAUGGCUGGUACAGAGAGUGGCGAGCCUGUGAGGGUGAGCGAAUCUCGGAAAGCCGGUCUCAGUUCGGAUUGGGGUCUGCAACUCGACCUCAUGAAGUCGGAGUCGCAAGUAAUCGCAGAUCAGCAACGCUGCGGUGAAUACGUUCCCGGGGCU